GACGUAGGGCGCGAGCGUUGUCCGGAUUUAUUGGGCGUAAAGGGCGCGUAGGCGGCCACCGCAAGUCGACUGUGAAAUCUCCGGGCUUAACCCGGAAAGGUCAGCCGAUACUGCGGGGCUAGAGUGCAGAAGGGGCAACUGGAAUUCUCGGUGUAGCGGUGAAAUGCGUAGAUAUCUGGAGGAACACCGGUGGCGAAGGCGGCAUCCUGGACCAACACUGACACUGAGGAGCGAAAGCCAGGGGAGCAAACGGG
rnacentral:rRNA from 1 species